GAUGAAGAACGCAGCGAAAUGCGAUAAGUAAUGCGAAUUGCAGAAUUCAGUGAAUCAUCGAAUCUUUGAACGCACAUUGCGCCCGCCAGUACUCUGGCGGACAUGCCUGUCUGAGCGUCAUUUCAACCCUCGCCCCCGGCUUCUGUCGGGGACGGUGUUGGGGAUCGGCCUCCCGUCUUCCGGGUGGCCGGCCCCUAAAUUGAGUGGCGACCACGCCGUAACCUCCUCUGCGUAGUAGUUAAACACUCGCGGGCGGAGAGCGGUGCGGCCUGCCGUAAAACCCCCAACUCUUCUAAGGUUGACCUCAGAUCAGGUAGGAAUACCCGCUGAACUUAAGCAUAUCAAUAAGCGGAGGA
rnacentral:misc_RNA from 1 species